UGUAAGCUUAUACCAAAGUUGUUGCAGUUAAAACGCUCGUAGUCGGAAUUUGGCAGUUCCGGAAGUGUGCACGUCGUGUGCGCACUUUGCGGGGACUGCUUUUGUGGUCUUGCGUAGGAUGAGGCACUUUCAUUAGUGAACGUCCUCACGCAACCACUCUUUACUGUGAGAAAAUCAGAGUGCUCAAAGCAGGCAUUUGCCGUGAAUGUAUUAGCAUGGAAUAAUAGAAUAGGACUCGGUUCUAUUUUGUUGGUUUGUUGGGACUGAGUAAUGAUUAAGAGGGACAGUUGGGGGCAUUUGUAUUCCGGCGCUAGAGGUGAAAUUCUUAGAUUGCCGGAAGACAAACUGCUGCGAAAGCGUCUGCCAAGGAUGUUUUCAUUGA
rnacentral:rRNA from 1 species